GUAGUAGUUGGGAGUUAAGACAUGGUGGACCUUUGGGUGAGGUGUAGGUAGUAGUUGGGAGUUAAGACAUGGUGGACCUCUGGGUGAGGUGUAGGUAGUAGUUGGGAGGUAAGACAUGGUGAACCUCUGGGUGAGGUGUAGGUAGUAGUUGGGAGGUAAGACAUGGUGGACCUCUGGGUGAGGUGUAGGUAGUAGUUGGGAGGUAAGACAUGGUGGACCUCUGGGUGAGGUGUAGGUAUUAGUUGGGAGGUAAGACAUGGUGAACCUCUGGGUGAGGUGUAGUUGGGAGGUAAGACAUGGUGGACCUCUGGGUGAGGAGUAGGUAGUAGUUGGGAGUUAAGACAUGGUGGACCUCGGUGAGGUGUAGGUAGUAGUUGGGAGGUAAGACAUGGUGGACCUCUGGGUGAAGUGUAGGUAGUAGUUGGGAGUUAAGACAUGGUGGACCUCGGUGAGGUGUAGGUAGUAGUUGGGAGGUAAGACAUGGUGGACCUCUGGGUGAAGUGUAGGUAGUAGUUGGGAGUUAAGACAUGGUGGACCUCGGUGAGGUGUAGGUAGUAGUUGGGAGUUAAGACAUGGUGGACCUCUGGGUGAGGUGUAGGUAGUAGUUGGGAGUUAAGACAUGGUGGACCUCUGGGUGAGGUGUAGGUAGUAGUUGGGAGGUAAGACAUGGUGGACCUCUGGGUGAGGUGUAGGUAGUAGUUGGGAGGUAAGACAUGGUGGACCUCUGGGUGAGGUGUAGGUAGUAGUUGGGAGGUAAGACAUGGUGGACCUCUGGGUGAGGUGUAUGUAGUAGUUGGCAGGUAAGACAUGGUGGACCUCGGUGAGGUGUAGGUAGUAGUUGGGAGGUAAGACAUGGUGGACCUCUGGGUGAGGUGUAGGUAGUAGUUGGGAGGUAAGACAUGGUAAACCUCUGGGUGAGGUGUAGUUGGGAGGUAAGACAUGGUGGACCUCUGGGUGAGGUGUAGGUAGUAGUUGGGAGGUAAGACAUGGUGGACCUCUGGGUGAGGUGUAGGUAGUAGUUGGGAGGUAAGACAUGGUGGACCUCUGGGUGAGGUGUAGGUAGUAGUUGGGAGUUAAGACAUGGUCGAUCUCGGUGAGGUGUAGGUAGUAGUUGGGAGUUAAGACAUGGUGGACCUUUGGGUGAGGUGUAGGUAGUAGUUGGGAGUUAAGACAUGGUGGACCUCUGGGUGAGGUGUAGGUAGUAGUUGGGAGGUAAGACAUGGUGGACCUCUGGGUGAGGUGUAGGUAGUAGUUGGGAGGUAAGACAUGGUGGACCUCUGGGUGAGGUGUAGGUAGUAGUUGGGAGGUAAGACAUGGUGGACCUCUGGGUGAGGUGUAGGUAGUAGUUGGGAGGUAAGACAUGGUGGACCUCUGGGUGAGGUGUAGGUAGUAGUUGGGAGGUAAGACAUGGUGAACCUCUGGGUGAGGUGUAGGUAGUAGUUGGGAGGUAAGACAUGGUGGACCUCUGGGUGAGGUGUAGGUAGUAGUUGGGAGGUAAGACAUGGUGGACCUCUGGGUGAGGUGUAGGUAUUAGUUGGGAGGUAAGACAUGGUGAACCUCUGGGUGAGGUGUAGUUGGGAGGUAAGACAUGGUGGACCUCUGGGUGAGGAGUAGGUAGUAGUUGGGAGGUAAGACAUGGUGGACCUCUGGGUGAGGUGUAGGUAGUAGUAGGGAGGUAAGACAUGGUGGACCUCUGGGUGAGGUGUAGGUAGUAGUUGGGAGGUAAGACAUGGUGGACCUCUGGGUGAGGUGUAGGUAGUAGUUGCCACGAGCCACAGGGUAAGAUAUUUUUGUUUCCAUAAUGGUUGGGAUUAGGCUAGGGGAAUCUGAUCCUAGAUCUGUGGUUGAGUAACUUUUCCCUAAAGCGGUGCCUGGCUGGCUUUCGCCAGGUGCAACCUCAAUGUACCUUGAGCUCAAUGACUUUAAAGUCCGGUGUCGAAGAUUUUUGUUCCCCGAAUAUCAAGACCACCCAUGUAUUUAGAAUCAUUUGAACAGCACCCGCACCCCCAGCAUACCUUUCUUCUAAAAAAGACAGUGCAGACUUAAAUAAAGCCCAGGACCUUAUGACAUGUGCAUUUUUACACCUCAUUUACACAUGUUUUCUGUGACUGAGGUGACAGGAGGAUGUCUUUAAUAAGAGCAGAUGUAUAGACCUUACAGAAUAUCUGAAGCUUUGUGUUGAAGUACAGCUGUUAUCACAUCAAUUGUUCCAGGAGCUGCAGGUGCAAGCUGCUGGUUGAGAUCAUAUAAAUGCAUGAAAAAGUAGAUUUGCCAAUAUCACUGUAUGUCACUUACUGUACCCUAUGUACUUUAGCUAUACAGUAGCAUCUGUUCUGUUUUAAGUCUUCUGCCUGUGUCCAAUAUAUUCAGAAUAGUUGUGCAGAAAUAUUUUCUGCACAUGAGCAUAUAUACUGAGUAUGUGUUUCUGACUUGCUGUGUGUCUCAGAGGAAAUCGCCCUUUGGUCUCUGGUGUUAUUGGCCAUUGAGCGUUAUAUCGUUGUUUGUCAACCAAUGACCAACUACCGCUUCAAUGAGUGGCCCGCCAUUGUGGGUGUGGCCUUCACCUGAAUCAUGGCUCUCCCCUGUGCUGUGCCUCCAUUGUGUUGCAGGUCCAGGUAGAUCACCCUCUAAAUACCCUCCAAAAAGCAUGUCCUACUUGUCUUACCUUAAACGUCAACCUUAAGAAAUGGGAAUAGGCUGAUGGCUGGUAGAUCUCAGGGGCAAUACUUCUUUAUAAUACAUAUAAUAUUUUUUAAAUGAGGUGUGCAGGUGCAUGUGUGUGUGUGUGUAUAGGUCCAUCUCAGAGGGUACGCAGUGUUCACUUCUACAUCCCUCUGGUCAUCAUCGGCUUCUGCUACGGCCUUCUGCUCUGUAGCAUCCGCAUGGGACAAUGACAAACACGGUCACUAAAGACCAGUAAACACACAGGACUACUACAUCUCCAGUUCGGACUCAUGUCAAAACACAUGUGUGUGUGUAUGUCCAUUCGUUCAGGCAACUCAGAGGGCAGAGAAGGAAGUGACCCGUACGGUGAUUGCCAUGGGCAUCACAUUUCUGAUAUGCUGGGUGCCCUAUGCCACCGUGGCUUGGUACAUCUUUGCCAACCAGGGCACCAUCAUGAUGAGGCCGAGCUGGUUAGCUCUUAACCCUAGGCUCAGGCCAGGUUCUGAGUGUCAACAGAUGGACCCGCAAAGAAACUUGUGUGUGUGUGUGUGUGUGUGUGUGCGUGUGCGUGCGUGCGUGCGUGUGUGAGAGAAAGAAAAGCUCUGGAGACCAGUGUUUAUACUGUAAAGGUAAGGAUGGUACAUGUGUCGUGGAAAUAAAGUUGUUAAAUAUCCUGCAAUGAAAAUCUGAACUUUCUUUUUCAUACAUGUCUCACUCAAAGGGGAGCAUUUACAGGACUAGCGUUUCUGAAACAGUCCAGAUGCCCGUUGGGU